GAUGAACGCUAGCUACAGGCUUAACACAUGCAAGUCGAGGGCAGCGGGAUUGAAGCUUGCUUCAAUUGCCGGCGACCGGCGCACGGGUGAGUAACGCGUAUCCAACCUUCCGUACACUCAGGGAUAGCCUUUCGAAAGAAAGAUUAAUACCUGAUGGUAUGAUGAGAUUGCAUGAUAGCAUCAUUAAAGAUUUAUCGGUGUACGAUGGGGAUGCGUUCCAUUAGGUAGUAGGCGGGGUAACGGCCCACCUAGCCAACGAUGGAUAGGGGUUCUGAGAGGAAGGUCCCCCACAUUGGAACUGAGACACGGUCCAAACUCCUACGGGAGGCAGCAGUGAGGAAUAUUGGUCAAAUGGGCGAGAGCCUGAACC
rnacentral:rRNA from 1 species